AGAGUUUGAUCAUGGCUCAGGAUGAACGCUAGCGGCAGGCUUAACACAUGCAAGUCGAGGGGUAGAGGAAGCUUGCUUCCUUGAGACCGGCGCACGGGUGCGUAACGCGUAUGCAAUCUACCUUAUACAGGGGGAUAGCCCAGAGAAAUUUGGAUUAAUACCCCAUAGUAUAAUUGAAUGGCAUCAUUAAUUAUUAAAGUUCCAACGGUAUAAGAUGAGCAUGCGUCCCAUUAGCUAGUUGGUGUGGUAACGGCACACCAAGGCGACGAUGGUAGGGGUCCUGAGAGGGAGAUCCCCCACACUGGUACUGAGACACGGACCAGACUCCUACGGGAGGCAGCAGUGAGGAAUAUUGGUCAAUGGGCGCAAGCCUGAACCAGCCAUGCCGCGUGCAGGAUGACGGUCCUAUGGAUUGUAAACUGCUUUUGUACAGGAAGAAACACUCCCUCGUGAGGGAGCUUGACGGUACUGUAAGAAUAAGGAUCGGCUAACUCCGUG
rnacentral:rRNA from 1 species